CUGCUGUAAAUUUUGAAGUCUCCAAUGGCGCCUCGGCCAAUCCCCGUACUUCUGAUACCCGCUCAUAAUUGAUUUUUGAUACUAGGAGCAUCAUUGUUUGACUUGUACAGCUAAGGAAAGAGUGACUUUUCCAUACAAGGGACAUUAUUCACUAUAUUACAAAAUGUUCGGAGCUCCAACGAAGACUCAGGCGAUUGAGGGAAAAACAACAAGAGACGAAAAUAAGGAGGCAAUAAAUGCCAUGAUUACGAACCUCAUAACUUUUGGUUUUAUAAUAGGAGCCAUCCGAGCAGUUCCAUUUGCACUGCAGCAGCUGAAGAGCUAAGGAAAUUAGCAGCAAUUUAUUAUGUUGAAAAUUAUCAAUCUAAAUAAAAAAAUUCAAUGAAA